UAUGGAAAAGAUGGAUAACUAGCUAAAUUUGUGGAUUCAUAAGAUGGCAGUCAAACUUUACAAAGCAUUAUAAACAACAUUGUUUUGAGGCUGAGAGCCAAAGAAAUUUAAGUUCUUGUUACUCAUGUCAGGAAAAUGUUAGACCCUUCUCAGUAUGAUAAAGGAAUAGUGCAUAUAUAAUUCAUUAUUUUAAGAACUAUA
rnacentral:lncRNA from 1 species